rnacentral:lncRNA from 10 species
UUUCCCUUUCAUAAAUGAGGAAUCUUAUAGGUGCUAAUAUCAGCUGCCUGUCUGGGUUCUGUUUCCUAAUUUUUUCUUUCUCUCAGAACCCUGAUUUGGUUCAGAUAGUCACCUCCUCCCAACAUAGACCAAACACCUACAGAACAGGAAACUGACGAUUUUACCUGUAGGAGAGGUCCUAAUUGGUUUAAUAGUAACUCCAUACCUUGCCAAUGAUUUGUUCAGGAACUUAGGCCUAAAAUGUUCAGCUCAUGGUACUGCCUGGUUCUAAGAAUUUGUUGAGAAAUAGGCAUGUGAUCCAAUUCAGGCUGAAGGCUUGCUUGAGGGCUCCCAGGAAACAUUUUCCUUUACUUGGAAUCAAAUCUUUCAUUUCUUCUCAAUUAAAUACUGCUCAGAUAUGAAUGCAGAAAUUGCUACAGACAUUUUGCCUUCAUGACACAACUAGGAAGGAUUUCCAGUUAAAUGAGCCAAUGUCUAUCUGAAUUAGAUUUUUUUUGUUUUUGUUAGUCAAUCUGAAUGAAUUUUUUUGUUUUAUUAGUUACUGCUGAAAGCAUCCUGAGUGACACAAACUUGAAGCAUGCAAGAGGACUAAAUAACUUCCAAAGUCACACAUAUUGCAUGUCAAGAGCCAGCUUCAAACUCAAGUCCCUGUGACCAGAGGUCGAUGCUCUAAACACAUUUCUGCAUGACCUGCUUGUGGCAGCCUGGAGAAAUUCUACAUAAAUCUUCUCAGAGCCAGUGGAGGAGGUUCACACUCACAUCAGGAAGAGCCUGAGGAUAAAGGGGAGCACAACAUGUGUUUUGCAAAUCAGUAAAUCAAUCAACUAAUAUUUAUGGACUAUUAAAUUUGAGUGGAGCUAUACAUUUGCAAAGACAAAGGAAACAGGUAUGAUAUAGAGGGGUUACCUUCAAGUCACUUACAUUUUACAUGCUGAGCCCUAACCAAUGAAAAGAUAGCUAGUAAACAUAUCUUUGGAAUGGUUCUUACAAAACUAUGGUGUGGUAAUCUUCUCUUCCAUAGAGCUUAGUUGCCUAUCCCAAUGAAGAUGAUUAUUUUUAUUUCUUUUUUUUAUUUUUGUAAGUGCUGGGGAUGGACUAGUCUAAACAUAAUAUCAUCUCUAAAUUAUACUGAAGACACUGAAUAUUGAAAUAGAGUUUCUUGUGGCCUUCAUGUAACAUGACAUGAUAAUGGUAUAGCCUAUUUGAUAUCACAGGGGAAUUAAAUUUGCUCUUUUUAAUCAUCUGGAAGAGAGCAAUUUGGCAUAUGUUGCAAUUACAAGGAUGCCUUUCUCUGAGACUAUUUACAGAGAUAGCCACAGCUUAAGACAGAAGAGCAUUGUUUGAUUUGAGAGCUGUAAGGAAGGGGACGACAUCAAAGGCUCCCAAAUGUAGCCGGACACUUCGACUUCUCUGUACAGAAAGUUGAUUAUGGUCUGCAAAAGUGCACCAAGGGCAUUGCUACACACAAGUUCAGUCUUUCCUCAUUGAAGGUUUAUGGGGCUUGUAAUGUCAAGAUCCAUGAAUUUCAGGGACUGUUCUUGUCCUUGGAUCAGAUUUGGAAGCAGCUUUUGAUCAGUGAAGUGAAACAAUUAAUUAUAAUAAAUAAUGCUACUAGAAAUCCUCACACAGUCAGUUAAAGGAGGAGGGGAGCCAAAGAAAUAAAGCUUGUCUCUGGCAGAAUCUCAUCAUCUGGUCUGCCUGGACCCUAUCCUGUUUGGCUACAGCAACCACAGCUCACUAAGCCUCUGGUGAAAGACACAGUUGCGCCAUAUUCUCAGCCAGUGGUGGUAUUGGGUUUUGGAAGGGUGGAGGGGGUGAUAAAAGAAGCUCAAAAGGAUCAGAGAGGAAUGCAAAAUUGUUUUCCAUUCAUCUGUAUUUGAUUGCUUUGUGCCCUGAAGCACAUGAUUUAAUUAUUUUCAUCAUUGCCUCAGCUUCCUCAGCUACCAAUCUCAUUGAUGGCAAUAAAAUUAUUCAGCCUUUACAAAAAAUGCAGCCAUAAUAAUUCUUGACUCAAUGAAUACUUAAGGCUAUAAAAUCAGCUCCUUGAAUGACUGCAUCCAAUUGAAAACACCAACCCAGGGCUUUCUCAACAAUUAAAGUGAAAUAUAAACUUAUGUGAGAUAGAAGCGUCCUGCUUCUAUAUUCAAAAUAGCUACCUGUUAUUCGUUGCCUACAACUUAUAUUCGCUAUCUCUAGUCCACACAAGAGCCCUCUGUGAAGACAAUUUUUUUUCCCCUAAGGGAGCUCAAAAAAGCCCUGAGUCAGUGUUUUGAGUUGAUUAUUGUAAGGUGUGUGGGAGGGGGCAGGAGUGGAGCUGGAGAAUGGCCAGAAAUGAAUGCUUGAAGUACAGACAAAAGCAAAUCAAAAGAUGAAUGUGUAGCAGAAAAUGCUGCAAGUGGAGAGAAAUAGGAAGUUUCAAGCCCAGUCCAAAAAUCACGUCAGAAACCUGGGGGAGAUGUCAGAAAUGAACUACAUGGCCCAGGACUUUCUCUAAAAGUGUAAUUUUCUUGAAAGGCCCCAGCAAGAGGUAGUGGCUCUGUCUGGUACUCUCACAGCCUUCCCUUGCCAUGUGUAUGUGUUUUUUAAAUGUGUGUGUGCACACAAGCAUGUGUGUGCCUAUGUGUGUGUAUUUAAAUUUAACCUCCUUUAUUUUUGUAAUCUCUUUAUUAAAAGUGCUUAUAGAAUCCAAAUCUUG